AUUGAACGCUGGCGGCAGGCCUAACACAUGCAAGUCGAACGAGUGGCGGACGGGUGAGUAAUGUCUGGGAAACUGCCCGAUGGAGGGGGAUAACUACUGGAAACGGUAGCUAAUACCGCAUACCAUCGGAUGUGCCCAGAUGGGAUUAGCUAGUAGGUGGGGUAAUGGCCAACCUAGGCGACGAUCCCUAGCUGGUCUUAGAGGAUGACCAGCCACACUGGAAAUUGGGCACGGUCCAGAAGCCUACGGGAGGCAGCAGUGGGGAAUAUUGCAGAAGGGGCGGAAGCCUGAUGCAGCCAUGCCGCGUGUAGGAAGAAGGCCUUCGGGUUGGAAAGUACUUUCAGCGAGGAAGCGUUACUCGCAGAAGAAGCACCGGCUAACUCCGUGCCAGCAGCCGCGGUAAUUC
rnacentral:rRNA from 1 species